UACGAAGGGGGCUAGCGUUGCUCGGAUUUACUGGGCGUAAAGCGCACGUAGGCGGAUUGUUAAGUCAGGGGUGAAAUCCUGGAGCUCAACUCCAGAACUGCCUUUGAUACUGGCAAUCUCGAGUCCGGAAGAGGUAAGUGGAACUCCUAGUGUAGAGGUGGAAUUCGUAGAUAUUAGGAAGAACACCAGUGGCGAAGGCGGCUUACUGGUCCGGAACUGACGCUGAGGUGCGAAAGCGUGGGGAGCAAACAGG
rnacentral:rRNA from 1 species